GUUACCUACGGGACGCAGCAGUGGGGAAUAUUGCACAAUGGGGGAAACCCUGAUGCAGCGACGCCGCGUGAGCGAAGAAGUAUUUCGGUAUGUAAAGCUCUAUCAGCAGGGAAGAAAAAAAUGACGGUACCUGAGUAAGAAGCCCCGGCUAACUACGUGCCAGCAGCCGCGGUAAUACGUAGGGGGCAAGCGUUAUCCGGAUUUACUGGGUGUAAAGGGAGCGUAGGCGGUUUAGCAAGUCAGAAGUGAAAGCCCGGGGCUCAACUCCGGGACUGCUUUUGAAACUGUUGAACUAGAUUGCAGGG
rnacentral:rRNA from 1 species